ensembl:lncRNA
AUGUUGUUCCGCUCACGUUUCCAACUUGAAGGAAAAUCCUGUGAGAACGGCUGGAGGAAGUUCGAUAUAAGCUGUUACUUUAUUUCCACUGAGGGGAAGACGUGGAUGUCAAGCAGAACAGACUGCAUUUCGAAAAGAGCAGAUCUGGUCAUAAUAGACAGCAGGGAGGAACAGGUGAGAGAAAGAAAGAAUUAACUGGAUGAGAUCAAAAUCAUUUUGUUAACUCAGGAAACUGCAACUACAACUAGGGGCGCAUAUGACGCAAAACAUCCACAGCAUCUCAAGUAACGCCAGUCGAUGGUCCGGUUGAAGGGCGGGGCUGCGUGUGGACCCUCCCCCGGCUCAAUCCGGUGAUAUUUUUAACAUUUCUCUCUGCAUUUUUACAACAUUCCAACACUGCACUGAAUAUAGUACAUUAAAGUUUAGGGUAAUUGUAUUAUUUAACGACACACGGAUACUAAAUAUUAAGGGGUUCCUCUUUCUCCUAUAAAAAAUUAAUUGUCCAAAUACACCAAGUAAAUAACCAGAGUUAUUACACUUUUUAUCAUGGGUGGGCCAUUUUUGGAGCAGAGGCUUAAAAACAGCCUCAGGGGGGAAAAGGUACGUUCCCGGCUUGCUCCACCGAAUGGAUCUCUUGGUGAUUCUUUACUACUGGAUUUUGUAUUUGUUGCACCUUUUUGAGUUCCCCCGUCAUGAUGGUUGUCUUUGUUGUGGACAUGUUGGUUCAUGAAAAUUUACUGUCUGUUUCCCUGUGUCUCCCUGCUUUUGUGUUGAUCCAAAGCCACCUGGAAAUCUGUUUUUCACCAAAGCAAAAAUACACUAAGUGAGGAAAUGUGGUGGAAAGCUUUGAAUACAGUAGAAAUUGGAGAGGAAGAAACAUCUCUUACAUUAAAUAAAAAGUGAAGAACUAGGAAACAGUAAGUGAAAUAUUUUAUUGCUUUACUCUCUGUGCUCCACUAACAGGAAUUUGUCAACAGCUUAAUGGCGACCAAACAUUGUGCCUGGAUCGGAAUGACUGACAGGGAUGAAGAGGGGACGUGGAAGUGGGUGGAUGGGACUCCAGUCAACACAACGUACUGGGAGGCCGGCCAGCCUGACGACUGGUUUGGGAAGGAGGACUGCGGAGAAACUCGACUGUUGAUAAGAGAGGAAGAGUGGAACGAUGACGACUGUUCUGCUUCACACAUCUACAUCUGCGAACAAUAAAAUUACAAAGAAAUACUGACUAGAAUACCUAUUGUGUAUUAAUCCACAGCUGAAAAUAGUCCCCAGCAUACGUACACACCAUUCACUCCAGUUUUAGGGACUUUUGCUACAACAAUUCCAACUUUGUAUUUUUUUAAAAGAAAACCUCUGUUGUACUUAUUAAGAGAAAUAAUUUUAUCAUUUUAUUUCUUUUUGCUUUUGAACGGAGGUUAACCUAUUUGGUAGGCCAGUGACAUGUCAAUAACAGUAGCCCAGCCCUAAAGCAUACUUUUAUUAAUGGUCAACUCUUUAACUCUACUGCACUAAAUGAACAUCAUGCAGUAUUGAAGGCAAUUUGAAACCAGAGAUUUAGACCAUUAACUAAUGUUUACAAUGUUUACUAAGGGAAUAAAUCAAUGGAGAAGUAAAGCUAUUCUCUCAUAGACUUCUAUAGGACCAGAGGAGUCGCCCCCUGCUGGCCAGUAAAUAGAAUGCAAGUUUAAGACACUUCACUCUUAAUAAUUGGAGGUGCCCCCCCUGGUACUAUUUCACACUAUCUCAGUUGCUCUGAGCGUGUAAUGAAAACACGCCUGUGCGUUGGAGUUAAUUAACAAUGCAUUUGGAUUUGGUCGUGCAUGUAGACUUUUCAGCCUUCAGUUAUAAAUAAAUAAUAAAUUCCAUCCUGUCUUAUUUCUUCUUCCAUUAUUUUACUGCUCUGGAUACAAAGUCCUUCAAAAUAUAUAAGGAGUCCAUUCAGUGUUAAUUGCUGUGCAAUGUUUCUCAGUAAAACUAAAACAUGCAAUAACUAAUCUGUUAGUGUAACGUUUCAUCUGGCACCAUCAUUAGGUCGACAUUUUAGUUUUUCUAAUACUUUUGAUUUGGCUAAAUACCAAGAAGCGUAUUUUUCCAAUCAGAAUGCAUUUAGCCCUAUUUGAUUACUCCUGGUAUGCUGGCAAAGAAAGCUAAGAUAUUAAACACAAACAGUUGACCCGUUCAGACAGACUGCCGGGGACGCCCAUCACCUCCGUUCUGGCACUGAGGCUUUAUUACAUUUGACGAGGGCUGAUCCACAAUAAUCCAUUUCGGUAACAAAGAACGUCAUUCAGCAGCAACAAGGCAUCAGUAACAGAUAACGCUCUUACAAACAAAGGCCCCGUUUAGAGUGGUGAAAUUAUCUUCACACAAUCAGACACGACAAAAAGACAUUCUUAUUUCAUUGCUCAGAUCAGAUAAAAGAUUUUUCCAUGUGUGUAAUUCUGUGGCUUUAAUACUCCUCCAACCUCAGAGGUUUAGCCUCAAAGCAAGCGCAACAAAGCAGUGUUUGCAUUGUAGAAAUUUGAAAUAUGACUUAGGACAUAAAAACACUGACUUGACCUCAGUGAGAAGUUAAUUUGUGGGAAAAGAGAAGAGAAACUUUAGAAAGUCCGGAUCCUAAAAGAGAAAAUGACUUUUGAAAAGAAAAACAAACUGGUCACUUCCAGCUUGGAAUCAUUUGGCCGAAAAUGAUCUGACAUGCAAGUCAAGGGACUGACCAACCAGGGUCAAACAUUUAGAUGACAUGGCUAAAAGGAGCAUCCUGUUUCUCCCCCAUAAAUAACGAGGCCAUUACCUUCAUUUAUUUGGCGGUUGGUGGUUGUAAGCCUCUUGAUAUGCAUGCAGUCGUAUUGAUGGAAGGUAAGUUCAUUAUAGAUUUGGUCUCAAUCCUUGUCGAUGAUUUAAAAUGUAGAUUUUUCGCAUAAAUGUCACAUCUUACUGGACUCAACACAUGUGAAUAAAAAAUGUACGCAAGUACGAGUAAGCUAAAAUAAUUACUCUCAGCCUUCUUCUGAAUAAUGAGUUUAAACAUUUUUUAAAAGCUUCAACAUUUUUAAAUAUGUCUCUUCAGCAGGACAAUCUGAACAUUAUUAGAAUGGAUGCGAUGGAAAUUGAUGACAGCAUUUAUAUAAAAAAGAACUUCGCAAUGGACGGCCUCGGUAGUCAAGGUACAAUAUCACCCUGAAUUAAAAUGGACGAAUGUCCACAGCCAAGUGCUACUAAAGUGUUUAACAAUCAAGAUUUUCAAAAAUAAUGUUUUUCAUGUAAAUUCCAUUUUUGCUUUGUAUUAACAAAGAUUUAGAAAUUUGGAUUUUCAAAAAUCCAUAAGGAGGAAUUUACACUUAACUGCUUUCUUACUUUGGAUUUAGUUGUUUUUCCGAGGAGAAAGCAGCCCUUUCGAUGUGCUACCGUGUGUCUGGGGUUACUGAGUGCUGUCCUGUUGGCUGGUAACAUAGCGCAGUUUGUCUACUGUAAGUAAAUCUAUUGUUGUCACGCAAAGUACGAAUGAUGUGGAAUGCAAACCAUGUGAGAGGAAUGAGCUUUUCAAAAGCUAAUGACCUAAGCAAUUAUUAAAAAUGUCUUUUGCAUCUCUCAGAUGAGAUAAUCAGCCGCCCCGCUUCAGCAGAGCCGACACAGGCCAGCGGCCGGUUUCAAGGAGACCGACUGCAGGGCGGUUGUGAUGCUUCAGCUGCAGAAAGACAACAGUUGGAGGCCAAACUGAGUAACCUGACUGAAGAUAAAGGCCAACUGCAGCAGAGUUACUCAGCUUUGACUGCUGAAAGGGAUGAGUUCAAGGCCAGUUUCAGCAAUCUGAGAAACAAGAGUGACCAGUUACAAGCAAGUUACAACACCUUAAAAGAAGAGCGCGAUCAGUUGAAGACGAGCUAUGACGACAUGCAAAAGAGUCUUAAUGAGCUACAGGCGGAUCACAAGACCCUUCAAGCAACUAAAGACCAGCUACAGACCAACUAC